AUAGUGUCAGAUGACAGAUCGUCAAUAAAAGUAUGCACGUUGUAACUGAUAAACUAAUGUUUAUACAUGUUACAUAGAUAUAUUAAUUGGUUUGUUGGUGGUUGAUGAACAUCUUUUGGAAUAUUUAGAUAUAAGAUAUGUGUACAUUAUGUAUACGACAAAAAAAAACACACAAAAAUCACAAAAAGUAACAAAGAAAAA
rnacentral:lncRNA from 1 species